UUCUAAGCUAGUUAGGGCUACAUAGUGA
rnacentral:piRNA from 1 species